AUCUGUAUUCUAUAUUCCUGACCUUGGCUUUACCUGACUCUGUUUUUAUCUUUAAUAAUGUUAUGUCUGGCGCUUUCACAUAAAUGUGUAUCUUGUGUGUACUGGACCUUUUGUUAAUAAAGAUAAAAAUAGUCAGGUAAAGCUAAGGUCAGGAAUAUAGAAAUACAGAU